rnacentral:rRNA from 1 species
CCUACGGGGGGCAGCAGUGAGGAAUAUUGGUCAAUGGGCGCGAGCCUGAACCAGCCAAGUAGCGUGAAGGAUGACUGCCCUACGGGUUGUAAACUUCUUUUAUAAAGGAAUAAAGUGAGGCACGUGUGCCUUUUUGUAUGUACUUUAUGAAUAAGGCUCGGCUAACUCCGUGCCAGCAGCCGCGGUAAUACGGAGGAUCCGAGCGUUAUCCGGAUUUAUUGGGUUUAAAGGGAGCGUAGACGGGUUGUUAAGUCAGUUGUGAAAGGGUGGGGCUCAACCGUGGAAUUGCAAUUGAUACUGGCAGCCUUGAGUACAGUUGAGGUAGGCGGAAUUCGUGGUGUAGCGGUGAAAUGCUUAGAUAUCACGAAGAACUCCGAUUGCGAAGGCAGCCUACUAAGCUGCCACUGACGUUGAAGCUCGAAAGUGUGGGUAUCAAACAGGAUUAGAUACCCGAGUAGUC